rnacentral:rRNA from 1 species
CCUCCUUUCUUCCGCCGUUUUUACUAUUGUUCCCUGGGCGCCCGCCUGACCCAGCAACGCCGCGUGAAGGAAGAAGGCUUUCGGGUUGUAAACUUCUUUUGACAGGGAAGAGUAGAAGACGGUACCUGUCGAAUAAGCCACGGCUAACUACGUGCCAGCAGCCGCGGUAAUACGUAGGUGGCAAGCGUUGUCCGGAUUUACUGGGUGUAACGGGCGUGUAGCCGGGUUGACAAGUCAGAUGUGAAAUCCUGCGGCUUAACCGCAGAACUGCAUUUGAAACUGUUGAUCUUGAGUACUGGAGAGGCAGACGGAAUGCCUAGUGUAGCGGUGAAAUGCGUAGAUAUUAGGAGGAACACCAGUGGCGAAGGCGGUCUGCUGGACAGCAACUGACGGUGAGGCGCGAAAGCGUGGGGAGCAAACAGGAUUAGAUACCCGGGUAGUC